UGCAUUCACUACUGUAAGUCGCUCUGGAUAAGAGCGUCUGCUAAAUGACAAAAC
rfam:Salmo salar isolate Sally breed double haploid chromosome ssa20, whole genome shotgun sequence.